GGGCCCGCACAAGCGGUGGAGCAUGUGGUUUAAUUCGAUGAUACGCGAGGAACCUUACCAGGGCUUAAAUGUAGUCUGACAGGGGUGGAAACACCCCCUCCUUCGGGCAGAUUACAAGGUGCUGCAUGGUUGUCGUCAGCUCGUGCCGUGAGGUGUCAGGUUAAGUCCUAUAACGAGCGCAACCCCUGCCGUUAGUUGCCAGCAUGUAAUGAUGGGAACUCUAACGGGACUGCCGGUGCAAACCGCGAGGAAGGUGGGGAUGACGUCAAAUCAUCACGGCCCUUACGUCCUGGGCUACACACGUACUACAAUGCCCAGUACAAUGUGAACCGAUACCGUAAGGUGGAGGAAAUCCUUAAAACUGGGCUCAGUUCGGAUUGUGGGCUGCAACUCGCCCCACAUGAAGCUGGAAUCGCUAGUAAUGGCACAUC
rnacentral:rRNA from 1 species